rfam:Gossypium arboreum cultivar AKA8401 contig_41972_1, whole genome shotgun sequence.
UAUUAAAAGGUUAAUUCAUUUCUACUGUUAAAAACUGACAUGGUUGACAUAAUAAUCAAGCCACGUGUACCUUAUGCUUACAUACAUAGAUAAGUUUUUAACAAAUAGAAAUUGAUAAAAUUUUGAACA